rnacentral:rRNA from 1 species
GAGUUUGAUCGUGGCUCAGGAUGAACGCUGGCGGCGUGCCUAACACAUGCAAGUCGAGCGAAGCAUACAGGAGGAAGUUUUCGGAUGGAAUCCUGCAUGGCUGAGCGGCGGACGGGUGAGUAACGCGUGGGUAACCUGCCUUAUACAGGGGGAUAACAGUUAGAAAUGACUGCUAAUACCGCAUAAGCGCACAGUACCGCAUGGUAGUGUGUGAAAAACUCCGGUGGUAUAAGAUGGACCCGCGUCUGACUAGCCAGUUGGCGAGGUAACGGCUCACCAAGGCGACGAUCAGUAGCUGGUCUGAGAGGAUGAUCCGCCACACUGGGACUGAGACACGGCCCAGACUCUACGGGAGCAGCAGUGGG